rnacentral:tmRNA from 1 species
GGUCUUUUCAUCCGCGUGGAAAACACCUAUAUCCCCCCUUGCCGGUGCUUGCAUCGGCUAUGGCAAUAAACGGUCGGUGAAAUAAACCUAUUGGACCCGGGGGCGGUACCCGGCGCCUCCACCAAAAACCGGUCGGUCUUUGUGACCGGCUUUUGAUGGGGGCGAAAUAGGAUCGACAAGGGCGUAAAGAUCGAACUUUUGCUCGGCAUGAUACCACCGUCAUCGGGUCACAAGUGUAGUUGCAAAUGACAACAACGCUCAGGGUUACGCUGUCGCUGCUUAAUCGCGGUGCCAGAAACCCAAACUAAGUCCUUACGGGUAGCACCGUAAGGCGGGGUUCGGAGGUACCUGGCAACAGAAACCUCCACU